rnacentral:rRNA from 1 species
CCUACGGGAGGCAGCAGUGAGGAAUAUUGGUCAAUGGCCGCAGGGCUGAACCAGCCAAGUCGCGUGAGGGAUGACGGUCCUAUGGAUUGUAAACCUCUUUUGUCAGGGAGCAAAGGGCGCCACGUGUGGCGCUUUGCGAGUACCUGAAGAAAAAGCAUCGGCUAACUCCGUGCCAGCAGCCGCGGUAAUACGGAGGAUGCGAGCGUUAUCCGGAUUUAUUGGGUUUAAAGGGUGCGCAGGCGGAAUGUCAAGUCAGCGGUAAAAUUUCGGGGCUCAACCCCGUCGUGCCGUUGAAACUGGCGUUCUUGAGUGAGCGAGAAGUAUGCAGAAUGCGUGGUGUAGCGGUGAAAUGCAUAGAUAUCACGCAGAACUCCGAUUGCGAAGGCAGCAUACCGGCGCUCAACUGACGCUCAUGCACGAAAGCGUGGGUAUCGAACAGGAGUAGAUACCCGGGUAGUC